rnacentral:rRNA from 1 species
UCGAGGAUCUUCGGCAAUGGGGGCAACCCUGACCGAGCGAUGCCGCGUGUGCGACGAAGGCCUUCGGGUUGUAAAGCACUGUCGAGGGGGAGAAAACCCCGCAAGGGGCUGAUCUAUCCCUGGAGGAAGCUCGGGCUAAGUUCGUGCCAGCAGCCGCGGUAAGACGAACCGAGCGAACGUUGUUCGGAAUCACUGGGCUUAAAGGGCGCGUAGGCGGGCUGCCGCGUCCGGGGUGAAAGCCUCCCGCUCAACGGGAGAACGGCCUCGGAUACGGGCGGCCUCGAGGGGGGUAGGGGCGUGCGGAACUGUGGGUGGAGCGGUGAAAUGCGUUGAUAUCCACAGGAACUCCGGUGGCGAAGGCGGCACGCUGGACCCCAUCUGACGCUGAGGCGCGAAAGCCAGGGGAGCGAACGGGAUUAGAUACCCCCGUAGUCC